rnacentral:rRNA from 1 species
UACAGAGGUCCCAAGCGUUGUUCGGAUUUACUGGGCGUAAAGGGUGCGUAGGCGGUUGGGUAAGUCUAACGUGAAAUCUUCAAGCUUAACUUGGAAACUGCGUCGGAUACUAUCCAGCUAGAGGAAUGGAGGGGAGACUGGAAUACUUGGUGUAGCAGUGAAAUGCGUAGAUAUCAAGUGGAACACCAGUGGCGAAGGCGAGUCUCUGGACAUUUCCUGACGCUGAGGCACGAAAGCCAGGGGAGCAAACGAG